rnacentral:rRNA from 1 species
CCUACGGGUGGCUGCAGUGAGGAAUAUUGGUCAAUGGGCGGGAGCCUGAACCAGCCAAGCCGCGUGAGGGAAGAAGGUACAGUGUAUCGUAAACCUCUUUUGUCCGGGAACAAAGGCGGGUACUAGUCCCCGGCUGAGGGUACCUUAAGAAAACGCAUCGGCUAACUCCGUGCCAGCAGCCGCGGUAAUCCGGAGGAUGCGAGCGUUAUCCGGAUUUAUUGGGUUUAAAGGGUGCGCAGGGGGCCUGUUAAGUAAGGGGUAAAAGCCCGGGGCUAAACCCCGGCGAGCCGUUGAAACUGGCGGGCUAGAGAGGGAGAGAGGUAGGCGGAAUGCGCGGUGUAGCGGUGAAAUGCUGAGAGAUCACGCAGAACCCCGAUUGCGAAGGCAGCGUACCGGCUCCACACUGACGCUGAGGCACGAAAGCGUGGGUAUCGAACAGGAUUAGAUACCCUUGUAGUC